rnacentral:rRNA from 1 species
GCAUCGAUGAAGAACGCAGCGAAAUGCGAUACGUAAUGUGAAUUGCAGGUUUUCGUGAAUCAUCGAAUCUUUGAACGCAUAUUGCGCCCUCUGGUAUUCCGGAGGGCAUGCCUGUUUGAGCGUCAUUUCUCUCUCAAACCCUCGGGUUUGGUAUUGAGUGAUACUCUCUUCUGGGUUAACUUGAAAUACAUCUGGCAAGAGCUGCUACGCAGAUCUCCUCUGAACUAACGUUUCUAGGUUCUACCAAUUCGUUAUGGGCAGUAGGCAGUUGAAGCAUGGCUUUGGGCUCGGCCUUUACAAUUUCUCAUAAAGUUUGACCUCAAAUCAGGUAGGAUUACCCGCUGAACUUAAGCAUAUCAAUAAGCGGAGGA